GGAAUAGCUCAGUUGGUAGAGCAGAGGACUGAAAAUCCUCGUGUC
rnacentral:tRNA from 1 species